AUUGAACGCUGGCGGCAUGCCUUACACAUGCAAGUCGAACGGUAACGGGUCCUUCGGGAUGCCGACGAGUGGCGAACGGGUGAGUAAUAUAUCGGAACGUGCCCAGUAGUGGGGGAUAACUGCUCGAAAGAGCAGCUAAUACCGCAUACGACCUGAGGGUGAAAGGGGGGGAUCGCAAGACCUCUCGCUAUGGGAGCGGCCGAUAUCAAAUUAGCUAGUUGGUGGGGUAAAGGCCUACCAAGGCAACGAUCUGUAGUUGGUCGGAGGGGACGACCAGCCACACUGGGACUGAGACACGGCCCAGACUCCUACGGGAGGCAGCAGUGGGGAAUUUUGGACAAUGGGCGCAAGCCUGAUCCAGCAAUGCCGCGUGCAGGAAGAAGGCCUUCGGGUUGUAAACUGCUUUUGUCAGGGAAGAAAUCUUCUGGGCUAAUACCCCGGGAGGAUGACGGUACCCGAAGAAUAAGCACCGGCUAACUACGUGCCAGCCGCCGCCGUAA
rnacentral:rRNA from 1 species